GCCGCCUCCCAUCCCACUCGCCUCCCCCUCCUCGUCGCCCUCCUCUCUCUCUCUCGCUAACCCCUCUCUCUCCCCAUCGCGCCGGCCGGUUACGGCCAGCUCCGGCCCGCGCGUCUCCCCCGCGACCCCCGCCUCCUCUCCUGCCGUCGCCGCCGCCGGAGAAGCUCGCCUCCGCGCCCACAAGCCUCGGAUUCGGCGGGAUCCGGGACGAGGAGGGGUGGAUGAGACGUGGGAGGAGGAGGAGGAGAGUGUGGGGGCGUCUAGGGAGGAAUAUCCCCGCCGCCUCCUCCGCUCGUGACGCAGGGCCUCGGGCCAUGGGGGCGUUCGUUGCAGGAGCCUCGCCGCUGACCUCCCGUGCGCGGCGCCCGGCCCUGGCAGCGCCAAUCUCCCCUUCACACACAGGUACUCCCCCUCUCUCCUCUGUGCCCUCUCUCUCUCUCUGUCUCACUCCCUUUCUUUUAAUAAUUCCUACAACUUUUUGGUGAUUGAUAUUGGGGAUAAAUAAACUGUUAUUUGUGUUGCUGAUUGUUUUGAUCUGGACAUGGAUUGGAUAGUGGAGAAUUGAUACUAGGAUAGAGAAAUUGUUAUUUGUGUUGCUAUUAUUUCUUUGAUUUGGACAUGGAUUGUUCAGUGCUAGAACUUCAUAUCAUUAUUGUUGAGAAGGUAUUGCUAAAAGACAGUUAACUCUCUGAUAUUUGUCCAUUCGCUUUCUAUAUGGAGGGGAAUUAAUAUGUACAGAUGAGCCUUCCAAACUGAAUAUUUGAGUGCUCUUCUUGUUUGAAAUUUUUUGUUCACAACAGUAGGUUGAUGCCCGCAGUUGUUUGAAAUCAAAUUCAGAGGAUACACAACCUAAGAUCGACACAUCCCUACCUGAACCAAAGGGUCGUACGCCCAUCAUUAUUAUUAUUUUCAAUGCUAUUUGUGUUCUUCAUAUCCCCAAUUAAUUUAUUCAGUCUUACUUUUGACAUAAAACGCAAGUUGACUUUGAACCCCUUCUCCACCACAGGCAAGGUCGAACCCCAACACCGAGAAGGUAUCUUGGCACCAAAUCAUCGCGAGAAGAAGGGUAUGUGUUGCUGUGCAUGAGGUGUUAAUACUUAAUAAAGUUUUGCAUUCUUUGUUCUGGUGGAUUUUGUGUGUUUGGUUGACAUCUAUGCUGAAUUUAUAUUCCUGAGAUUGUUCUGGUGUUUUUGGUGCAAACUGAUUAAGGAGGGCUGGAGUUUGUCAAGUUUGCCAUGUAUGCCUAAUAUAAUUUUCUUAGAUUGCUACUGCAAUUGUAUGAUUGUGAUCCCAGUAGGUCAAGACUACAUUUGUGUUGUUGAACCGAGAUUCACUAAGCUUGGCAGAGAGGAUAAAUUUUUCUUUUGCAGAUAACUGGGCUCUAAAAGAUUCAAUAGUUACAUGUAGUUUUGUAUCUGCAGUUUGUUUGCAUGUAUUUUUUGAGGUUUUUGAUGACCAGAAUUAUGAAAUUUCCUUGGUUAAAAUCUUUAUAUGUGGCAUGAUCUCUGAAAACAAAAUAGAGUAAUAUAGUUUCCUUCAAGUUGUCAUUGCAACCGAAGUUGAAGUGUAUCUUCAUGAUCAGUAGAUCUGUGCGUGAUGCCGCCUGUUGUAGUUCUAUCGCUAUGCAGACAUGUUCAAGAAAUGCAAGUAAUAUAGUUUUGAUGAUGUCUGAGUGUAGAUAAAGCAGCCUUGUUCAGAAGUGCUUUGUCAAGUUCCUGUAAAAAAGCUUUCUAGAUAUACAUUAUGUUUACAGUUUCGCUCGGCUUCCCUAAUCCCAAAGGUAAUAAUAUGAUUCCUUUAUGUUGUUUGCCCAGAUUCAGAAGUGAAUUUUUGAGGUAUAUUUGCUUGUUGUGUGUACUGUAAAUUCUAAGCUUUCUAGGCAUACAUGUGCAUGUGUAUUUUUAGGUGCUAAUAUUAUUUCUUUAUGUUGUAAACUCUAAGUGUCUUGUAAACUCUUAAGCUUUCUAGACGUUCAUGUACAUGUGUAUUUUUUUAGGUAAUAAUAUGAUAUCUGUAUGUGGUUGCCCAAAUUCAGAAGUGAACUUUGCUGUAUAUUAGUCAGCAUCUCCUGCAUGACCUUUUAAACUUCAAUGCAGCUGUACAAGGUUUGUGAUGAUUUUUUUCCCAGUUUUGUCUUGAUUUAGACUUUUGUAGUUACACGUGUUAUGUUUGUUCACCAUGCUAAUCAUGAGGGUUUUACAGGAGGAUUUAGACUCACACGAGCUUUCAUUGUAACAGAGCUGCUGAACUUAAACAGAUGUUCUCCCGCAUAUCCAUGCCCAAACUGAAACCUAUAUAAUUUACGCCAUUUAACCAUAGCAAUGUUUCAUCCAUUGAGAGAAUUAAAAAAUUGACAUAAAUUUGCUCACUGCAGAGCCUCCGAACAGGAAACCGGCGGGGAGCAUGCCACCGUAGGGGAAGGGCAGGGGAGACAUGGUGGCGGCUAGCUGGGCCAAGCUGCGAACGCCCAUCGGCGACUUUCGUUGGGGUCCAUACCAUUCUUCCUCCCCUCACUCCGAUGCCAAAACCAGUAGGUGCAGCAAGAAGGUCAAGCAUCAACAGAGGUGCACAUCCGCACAUGGGUGGCGUGAACAGAUGGCUACCCCAAGAUAAUCUGAACCAG
rnacentral:lncRNA from 1 species